AGAUCAACAAACUUCAGGCGACCGGAGGAGGUUUGGUAAAGUUGCAACAUGUUUUUGGUUUAUGUCAUGUAACUGUUGGUUUUUAUAUGUCUCUCCCAAUAUGUUUUUUUUACACUAUGUGUUUGCUUUAUCAGUGGGAUCUCUUUGCAGUAUGUGAUGCAGAAAACUAACAGACUGUGUGAUGGCAUUGGCAGAUGAGCUGGAUGAAAAAUGUCCCUGACCCCCCUACAGAUUUGUCAAUGUAGGGCAGAUACAAUUAUAGACCAGCGUUAGUUCAACCUCAUGUGUCUCAGUGUUUCUUAAAGCAACAGUGAUGUAUCCAGGCAUGCCUUGCAACCUGUUCAAAGUGUCAUCUUUCAUUGUGCCUCAUGACAUGUGCCACAUGAAGUGAGGUUUACUCUCACAAUAUUGUUUUGUCUUCUCUUCCGAGCUUUAUUGUUGUUUUGUCUGUAGAGUGACUAAUAUUCUUUCUUUGAAGCACAGGGAUGCAGUUAGUCAUCUUGAAGUUGACAAUUAGAAGUCCCUGAUUUCUUCUGAAUGUGUGAAGAGCUCUGGUCACAGCGCAUAUCGAUACAAAGCCAUAUCCAUGCAGAACCUGUCUGUGUUGAUGGGAGGUUGAUGGUAGGUUCUUGCAGUGCAUUGUCUGCCCCAGCAGGCUCCUGUCCCUCCCUCUACCACCACAGGGUGUGAAGGGGAGAGAUGAGGUGAGGUGAGCCUCAGCCCCAGCCAGCCAGCCACCCUGCAGGGCCCACAUGGCACUUUACACACUGCCAGGGUAAUGACACGGCGUGGGCUCUCAUCGUUACAGGCGCUCCAUCAGGUUUCACUGACAGAGGCAGAGUGAGGCUUUUAAAAUGGAUCUGGGUAACAGUGGGAUCCCCUCUGUCUUGUCCAGACACUGGAAGCUGGAAGGGUUUUCACUCAGUGGCGCUCAAAAUGCCUGCAUUAUGUUCAACCAAGCAUGUUUGACAUGUUGAGGUGAUGUUAAUACAUUACAUAUGUGUAUGUAUGUAGUUCCUAUGUAAUAACAAUGUUUAUUCAUUAUAAUAACCAGAGACAUCGGUUUGAGGGUUAUGACGAAGUACAAUGUGGACUCAUAAUGGAUAAAAUGCGAACAAUUAUUGAUAUCAAGUAAAGCAUUGACCUGUCAAGUCUGGAUGAAGACUUUCACACACCAAAGCCGAUCCAAAUGAGCUCUAUUACAGUAGAUAGACUAAACCUGAAGUGCAGAUGUGUAUAGCUCCAACACUACUGUUUUAUGGCAUUCAUUAUUUCAAAUUCUCCCAAAGUUCCUCCACUGACGCGCUCCAGAGCAUAGAAAUAAGAAUGAAUAGAAUGGGCAUUCCCAUUCAAGUCAAUGAUGGCAUAAUGGGGUGGGCAUGGUGUACCCAUGAGUUUACCAGUCAAAUUGCCAGGUUUAGAGGUUCAAAGCCUAUUAAUUCUUAUUUCUAUGCUCCAGAGCCCUGCAGGCAGUUCAGCUGUUCAUCCAAACAUUCCUGUUCCAGUUUCUGGACACGUUACAGACUGGAAUCAAAUGACUGGACACCUCUGAAUUUCUGAGAGUCGUGUGACUUCACUUCACAAUAUCUACUGUACAUCUGAUUCAUGGGUUGAUGCAUUUACAUAGUGGUGGGUAGACUAUGGGAGUCCUGGGGCAUGACAUCUUCCCACCACCUUACACACAACAACAUGAUGGGGGUUAUUCUUCAGCGAAGAACAGCAUCUGCGGUUUUUCUCAUUUGCUUAACUUUUUAAGGCAUGCAACUGUAGGAGGUACGCUCUGGGAAGAUAAUCAAUGGUGAUGGAAUACAAAAUGGAUCCACAUACUGUAUUAGAAAAACGGAAUACGUAUAUUAGUACAUCAUGUGCUCUUACCAACGUUCAUGUACAAGCCAUAGGAAAUACAAUAGGAAAGCAAAUAUAGGAGCAGUCACUCCAAUCAGUUUUUGAACAACCUUUAGAAACCUGAAGUAUUCCAACACGUUUCUGGGACGGCCUGAUUUUUCCCUAAGGGUGGACAGUUUGUGCAAAUAGGGAGAUAGCAGAGAACCUCUUAUUUUCCAAAGCUUUUUGCCUGGCAAGCUCAAAGCGGGUUAGUUUAGCUCAGCCAUCUGAAGAUUGUGUAAUUGGUCCCUUGAUCAAAGCAGGGUGAUUGAACAGGGCAAUACAGCCAUGGUGUAAAGGGGGAUUGGGCACAAAUCUUGUUUUAUGUCCGUAAAGGAUAUUGGGAUUUGGAAUACCGGUACAUUGCCAUUUAAGUUGGCUUAAUUGGAUGAUGUUGUUGUCCGUUGGUUGUUGUUCUACUCCACUGUAUUUUUUCUAAAAGGCUAUUCCUUUAAACUGUGGUAAAAUCCAGUUUAACAAGGUACUCUACCCUACUGUGCUGAUUGCUUUGACAUAAAUCUCUCCAACAGGAAGACAUUUUCCCUGCAAAAUGUAUGCGUAGUUCCAGCUACUUAUCCAAAGAGCAGAAGAUGAAAUUAAGGCUUGUGUCUCAGUGUGUUGCCACACAUCUCUUUUGUAACUGUCACAACUCUCCAUUAGCAAGUCACAGUAAUGGAAAGAAAGCAACUGCUUUUCUUACAUCAUGGAGAUGCUCUCCUGUCACUUCACGUUAAACAUUCUAAAUAGUUCACACUUUAUUUGAGUUUCUUUUGUGUUUAGGGUUCUAAUAGGAUGAUCCAUUAAUUUGUUUAAAUGCAAAUAAGGUACAGUGUUCAAAUAUGCAUGUCCUGCGUCUGCUGCUGUAGUAGAGGAGAAUAUGUGCUCUACAUUGACCGACUAGACCUAAUUGAAUAAAGGGAACAUAUUCACUCCCUCACAUGACAUGAAGUCCCACAGCUGUCAGGAAGUUGACGAUUCUCAUUAAAUCUGUCUUACCUCAUUCUUCAGUGCUCAAAAGAGAAUAGCACAAAAUGCCUGCCUUAAAAUGGGAAAACUGUGGACUCUGUAGUAGAGUAAAGGUGCACACAAUCCCAUAAAUCAUCAGUCAGAUAUCAAAGCACACCACUGCUAUCUCUGGACAGAUCUCAUACUUUGGAUUUAGAAACACAAAAAAAGUUUACUAAAAUGUCUGUCAAUGGGACAUAGGUUUAUGUAAAGAUAAUUCACAGAGGUGUCCAGUCAGCCUGCUUUACAAGAGUCAAUUAUCACAAAAAUGAGGGAAAAGGUGACAAUAUUGUAAUGUAUUAACAGCCAUUUAUUUGACAUGAAAUGCACAUAAUGUGAAUCUAUGGUAAUGUUUAAUUUGAUUUCCAAACCUAAACUUAUCAUUGUUUUCCCAAUAGGCAAUCCCAACAUGAUUCAACAUAGUCACCUGGAUCUUACCCAGGCCCACACACCUAAAAUUGCCCACAGACAAAUGAGACAUGAGAAGCCCCAUCGCAUGAACAACAUCCUGACCUCACAGACAGAGCCGUACGACCUGGACAUGUCCUUCUCACGCUCCUUCCAGAACCUCACCCACCUGCCUCCCAACUACGAGCUGGCGGCAAUGAGCAAAGCUGACUUAAGUAAAUACUCCUCUCUCCACAAAUUAAGUAGGUGGUCUUUCAUUACAUACACCAUCGUGUUUGCUUGAUCUCCUGCCUGGACCCUGCCAGUACACAGGGGGGAGAAAAGGUUGAUCUUAGCACAUUGCG